UUUGCCUAUUCCCCAAACGGAGGAAAAGAAACCAACAGGGAUUGCCUUAGUAACGGCGAGUGAAGCGGCAAAAGCUCAAAUUUGAAAUCUGGCACCUUCGGUGUCCGAGUUGUAAUUUGAAGAAGGUAACUUUGGAGUUGGCUCUUGUCUAUGUUCCUUGGAACAGGACGUCACAGAGGGUGAGAAUCCCGUGCGAUGAGAUGCCCAAUUCUAUGUAAAGUGCUUUCGAAGAGUCGAGUUGUUUGGGAAUGCAGCUCUAAGUGGGUGGUAAAUUCCAUCUAAAGCUAAAUAUUGGCGAGAGACCGAUAGCGAACAAGUACAGUGAUGGAAAGAUGAAAAGAACUUUGAAAAGAGAGUGAAAAAGUACGUGAAAUUGUUGAAAGGGAAGGGCUUGAGAUCAGACUUGGUAUUUUGCGAUCCUUUCCUUCUUGGUUGGGUUCUCCGCAGCUUACUGGGCCAGCAUCGGUUUGGAUGGUAGGAUAAUGAUUAAGGAAUGUAUCUCUACUUCGGUGGAGUGUUAUAGCCUUGGUUGAUACUGCCUGUCUAGACCGAGGACUGCGUCUUGACUAGAUGCUGCAAAUCCC
rnacentral:rRNA from 1 species